rnacentral:rRNA from 1 species
UACGGGGGGAGCAAGCGUUGUUCGGAUUUACUGGGCGUAAAGGGCUCGUAGGCGGCCAACUAAGUCCGACGUGAAAUCCCAAAGCUUAACUUUGGAACUGCGUCGGAUACUGGAUGGCUUGAAUUCGGGAGAGGGAUGCAGAAUUCCAGGUGUAGCGGUGAAAUGCGUAGAUAUCUGGAGGAAUACCGGUGGCGAAGGCGGCAUCCUGGACCGACAUUGACGCUGAGGAGCGAAAGCCAGGGGAGCAAACGGG